CGGGCAUCUGAAGCAGUCCCCAUUUCUGGUUCACUUCCUUCUGUACGAGAGGCCAACGGAUUACACACAUGGUCAUGUUCCGUGACUGCCCCAGCCUGGGCUAGCACCAGGACUCGCGCGGCAGAGCAUCUGGCAACAGGGCCUUUAUGUGCUGUUGGGCCUAGGGCAAAAGAUACAAGAGGGCCCCCUGUGCAUUGCUCUUCCUAAGAAGAUGCCUUCAAAAGAUCUGAAAUUAUGGGUAAGAAUAUAGAUACAAGCAUGUGACAGAUGAUAUGUGAUUCUAUCCUAUCCAGUUCUGAAGAUACUACUGAGG
rnacentral:lncRNA from 1 species